rnacentral:rRNA from 1 species
UACGUAGGGUGCGAGCGUUGUCCGGAAUUAUUGGGCGUAAAGAGCUCGUAGGCGGUUUGUUGCGUCUAUCGUGAAAACCUGCGGCUUAACUGUGGGCUUGCGGUGGAUACGGGCAGACUUGAGUUCGGUAGGGGAGACUGGAAUUCCUGGUGUAGCGGUGAAAUGCGCAGAUAUCAAGAGGAACACCUGCGGCGAAGGCGGGUUGCUGGGCCGACACUGACGCUGAGGCGCGAAAGCCAGGGGAGCGAACGGG